rnacentral:lncRNA from 1 species
UGUGGACCGCUGCGGUGCCUCCAGAUCUGCAUCGGAAUGCAGAAAAGAUCUUUUUUUUUUUUUUUUUUGAAAAAAAGUUUUGAAUUCCUCAAUGAUUUUUUUUCUUCUGGAAAGGCAGCUUAGGAUAAUUAUUUCAGCUUUAUUGAGGGCAGAUUAGUUGAAGUCUGAGCGCUGCGUUUCAAUACGCGUUGUACACGGGCCGACAAUGUGG